GCCCAGAUGGUGGAAUGGCAGACACGCCAGAUUUAGGUUCUGGUGCCUCGCGGCAUGUAGGUUCGAGUCCUAUUCUGGGCA
rnacentral:tRNA from 2 species